CUACCAUCGGCCCGAGUUGGUUUUGUCUCCGGCGGCCGCUGCUAGAAUGAAAGCCGCCUGAGAGAGAGAUUUGGCGGUUAAUCCUGAGGAGAUUUCGGCGGGCACAGUUCUCAAGAGGAAUACUUCAGCUGCAAAAAGAAAUUCUGAGCUGCUGCAUGAACAUUCAUCAAACUUAUAAGGCUGCAAUUUGGAAAAAACUUUCAAGCUAAUGCUGCUGAAAUGGAGGUCAAGGGGACUGAAGAGGUGGCUCCAGCAGAUCAGAAGGGAGGACUUCAGGAGGCAGACACACUGUUACAGUAAUCAGCUGAUCCAGCCGUAUCCAGACCAGAUGGUGGACCUGCACCAGGAGCGACCACAACACAUCCCUGACUGUCAGCGGAGACCAUGUCAGCUGGAUGACAGAUCCCUGUGAAGACCUCACUGAUGACCCCAGCACAGAUCCUCAGCAAAGACUACGAGAACCAGACAAGCCCUCUGCGCAGACCCUUUCUACCAGCUUCACCUGCUGGCGUGAUGUUUCUUCAAGCAGAAGAAGUUGGAUGAAAUAUUCUGAAUGAUAUCAAUCCACAAUCUGACUUGUGAUGCAGCCUGGAAUAAUCAAACCACAUUCACUCGUUUGGCCAGACGAGACUGUUUCCUGACUGAGCCCGGUCUUGUUUGGGUUCCUUGUCACUGUUGCCUUUUGUCUUGCUUGGUUGAAGACUCCUAAUAUUCAGCAAUAUUACUGACUUGACUGCACUGACACCAUUUGAUAAGAACUGA